rnacentral:rRNA from 1 species
AUUGAACGCUGGCGGCAGGCUUAACACAUGCAAGUCGAGCGGGGUGAUGGUGCUUGCACUAUCACUUAGCGGCGGACGGGUGAGUAAUGCGUCGGAACGUGCCGAGUAGUGGGGGAUAACGCAGCGAAAGUUGUGCUAAUACCGCAUACGUACUGAGGUAGAAAGUGGGGGACCUUCGGGCCUCACGCUAUUCGAGCGGCCGACGUCUGAUUAGCUAGUAGGUGAGGUAAAGGCUCACCUAGGCGACGAUCAGUAGCGGGUCUGAGAGGAUGAUCCGCCACACUGGGACUGAGACACGGCCCAGACUCCUACGGGAGGCAGCAGUGGGGAAUUUUGGACAAUGGGCGAAAGCCUGAUCCAGCCAUGCCGCGUGUCUGAAGAAGGCCUUCGGGUUGUAAAGUACUUUCAGCGGGGAGGAAGGCGACGCGGUUAAUAACCGCGUCGAUUGACGUUACCCGCAGAAGAAGCACCGGCUAACUCCGUGCCAGCCGCCGCCGUAA